rnacentral:hammerhead_ribozyme from 1 species
GUCCAGUUGACAAGUACCAAAUAGAACGAAACGUGCGUCCUGGAU